CUGGAAUCCUGGAACUCCACACAAAGGCACCUGUUGUCCUGACAACCCCUGAGGCGUAGGGGAGAAGCAGUGGGGAGGCCCUUCCAUUUUUCUAUCAUGUGUCUGUCAGGAGGGGAACAAGAUUACGAAAUUGUGAGCAAAUACACAUCAUCAUGCUGCUCUGCCCAGCUCCUCCCUUGCCUUUCCGGUACUUGUGGUGCAGUCUUCUUUUUGGCCCCUCUGGACAAUCCUUCAACAUUCAGUAAUAGAUUUCCAAGUAGUGCAUUUAUAUUCCUAACCAGCAUCUCAGCUUGACUGGGAAAUGAAGAAAUCAGGUACAACCAGCACAAUUAACUGUGCAAAAAGUUUUUGCGCAGUCUUCCUUACAGAACAGCAUUUGUUUUCUGUACAGUGUUGAUUUCAUAGCACUCCCUUAAAGGCAUCCUUGCUGCUCAUGGAGUUCUUCCUGCUGUUCCUCUUCAGGAUUCCAUUUUGAUUCUAUCCACGGAGAGAAGUCUUGCAUCUAAAGAUACAAAAACAAACAAACAAACAAAAUCCUCUCUCUAUUCCAACAUGGCCUUGAUUUAAGAUAUGAAGAGCAAUUUGCAGGGCACAUGCUCCUGAGCUUGGAGAGUCUGUACACUCCCAUGCUCUGUUGGUAGGUCUGUUAACCAAUAAAACUAUUUUGCAAAGGAAUUGUGAAAACCUC
rnacentral:lncRNA from 1 species